UAAGUAAAUCAGAUAGUCGCAGGCAUUUAUUUGCCUGAGGAAAGUCGGAGCUCCAUAGGGCAGGGUGCUGGAUAACAUCCAGUGGGGGUGACCCCAAGGAAAGUGCCACAGAAAGAAACCGCCGGAAAUGGAGACCAGAGCGGAGGACGGAAGUCGGAUGUCGGAAGACCGAUGUUUGAUUACGGAAGAAGGAAUUCCGGGUUCUGGUCUCCGUUUUCGGCAAGGGUGGAAAGGUGAGGUAAGAGCUCACCAGCAUUCAGGCGACUGAAUGGCUCGGCAAACCCCACCUGGAGCAAGACCGAAUAGGGGAACAAUGAGGCGGCCCGUCUCGUUCCCGGGUUAGGUCGCUUGAGGUAGCAGGUAACUGCUGUCCCAGAUAGAUGACUAUCUAAUACAGAACUCCGCUUAUAGAUUUACUUACUUU
rnacentral:RNase_P_RNA from 22 species